rnacentral:rRNA from 1 species
UACGUAGGGCGCAAGCGUUGUCCGGAAUUAUUGGGCGUAAAGAGCUCGUAGGCGGUUUGUCGCGUCUGCUGUGAAAACCUAAGGCUCAACCUUGGGCUUGCAGUGGGUACGGGCAGACUAGAGUGCGGUAGGGGGUGACUGGAAUUCCUGGUGUAGCGGUGGAAUGCGCAGAUAUCAGGAGGAACACCGAUGGCGAAGGCAGGUCAC